rnacentral:rRNA from 1 species
GACGAACGCUGGCGGCGUGCUUAACACAUGCAAGUCGAGCGGUAAGGCCCUUUCGGGGGUACACGAGCGGCGAACGGGUGAGUAACACGUGGGUGACCUGCCCUUAGCUCUGGGAUAAGCCUGGGAAACUGGGUCUAAUACCGGAUAUGACUCCAUGACGCAUGUUGUGGGGUGGAAAGCCUUGUGCGGCUAGGGAUGGGCCCGCGGCCUAUCAGCUUGUUGGUGGGGUGANGGCCUACCAAGGCGACGACGGGUAGCCGGCCUGAGAGGGCGACCGGCCACACUGGGACUGAGACACGGCCCAGACUCCUACGGGAGGCAGCAGUGGGGAAUCUUGCGCAAUGGGCGAAAGCCUGACGCAGCGACGCCGCGUGGGGA